ACAUAUAUAGAGAAGAAGAGGGAAAGGGUUCUGAAGGAAAAGAAGAGUUUCAGAAAAUGGAUCCACAAAAAGCACAAGCAGAAGCCUCAAAGAGACCACCAGGUCAUGGUGCCACUGAAGUGCUUCAUCAGAGAAAAUCACUUCCUUUCAACUUCACAACAAUGACUAUAGCUGGUUUGGUUAUUACAGCUGCUGUGGGAUACACUGUCUUAUAUGUGAAGAAGAAGCCUGAAGCUAGUGCUAAGGAUGUAGCAAAGGUUACUCUUGGAGUUGCGAAUCCUGAAGAGACUCACCCUAAGAGAUAGAUAAUAUAUUAUUAGCUUUAUCAUAUAGUAGUAUACAACUUUUGAGUUCAAGGGCAGGGUCAAUGACUACUCUUUGUUCUUUUUUUUUAAUUUCAUUUUAUAUAGUUUUUUUCUUUGUGUGGGUUUUAAAUUUUAUUCAUAGCAGGUUUGUGACAGUCAUACAAUUUCACGAUGCUAAAUGAAACCAUAAUGCCUUGUUCUACUACAUACAUAUGUUAGUAAGAUCGAUGUUAUUAAUUUCUCGCCAUGGAAGAGAAGAUUUUUUGGUUUU